AAUACUAAAAAAGAAAUGAUUUAAUUAAAAGAGGUGUUAAAACAAAAUACUGUCACGCAUUUUGCUCUCUUUACAACAGAGAAGGUUUUGUUCCAUUGCUCGGAGCAGAGCCACCGUGUCGUAUACCAUACCGCCGCCGCGUUAAUCUUCAGUUUCAAGGUUACAAGGAACAAUGUCGUCAAAGAAGGUGUGCAUAAGAGGCGCAACAUUUAGAGACGUAUUAGAUUGGAACAGUAACAACAAUCUCGUUACUCGCCCUAAUAUUGGCACAUUGUGGAAAAAGCUUAUUCACGUCGCUGACGAUUGCAGCGGCUGUAUUGUUGCUUACCUCCUCUCUAAAGAGGAAGAGGAAGGGAAUGGUCACUUUUGUAUCGCUUCCCUCUUCGUUCACCAUACCUAUCGUAAACGUCGUAUCGCUACUGAUCUUAUCACUGCCACCCAAAACACCAUGGAACAGGUUCUCUCUACCUUGAUGUUUUUGGUUGUCAAUACAUAUUUUUUCCAUUAAAAGUCUGUUACAACGUCUAAUUUGACUGUGCUAAAGACGUCUCAGUGCACGUCCGGAAGAGCAACUCUGCAGCUCUUGGUUUGUUUGAAAAGAUGGGUUACACACUUCACGAGGUGAAGGCCAAGUAUUUUGAUGAUGAGGAGGACGCUAUUGUCUUGAGGAAGAUACUCAAGGGGAAGCAUGUUGCCACCUAACUGUCUCAAACAUGGAUUCUCCCGAAGGAGGAGGAAGACCUUCUUCAGCCAUUCAAGAUUAGGUGUUAAGGAUUUAUCAUGUAGUACUUUGUAUAUUUUGUAGUAUGGUAUCUCUUAAAGUAGGGUGGCCACAAGUACUUCGAUAUCUUUUGAAGUAUGUCUUGUGAACAAUUUGAUAUAACCAUAGAUUAGGUGUUACGAAUUUAACAUGUAGUACUUCGGGAUUUUUCGAAGUUUGGUAUCUUUUAAAGUAGGGUGGUAAUGAGUACUUCGGUAUCUUUUGAAGCAUGUUUUAUGAACAAUUUGAUAUAACCAUAGAUUAGGUGUUACGAAUUUAACAUGUAGUACUUCGGGAUUUUUCGAAGUUUGGUAUCUUUUAAAGUAGGGUGGUAAUGAGUACUUCGGUAUCUUUUGAAGUAUGUUUUAUGAACAAUUUGAUAUAACCA